UGGGAAGGUUAAACAAAAGUCAGAAAAUCUGCUUGGCAAAUUCUUAAAGAGCUGUAACACUA
rnacentral:snoRNA from 1 species